CAAAAAGCAAGGAAAUAACUUAGAUUUUCCAGUAAAAGCAGGAGAUUAAAGAGAUUUUUAAAGGAAAUCCUUUGCUGCUAAACUCACAGAGCACCUUGAGCGGUCUUUGAACUGAGGAAUUGGGCAUUUUAAGUUUCAGAGUAAAUAAGUGAGUGAAGUGGAGAGAACUGGCCACAUAAACCCCGGAUUAAAAAAUUUUGUUGAGGAAACUAAAUGAGAGAGGGAGUAAUUGUGUGCCUACCAAAAUACAACGUGUUAUUAUGCAUCAAAGCUUUGGGACUGGGCAAUAUGGGAAAAUGUUAACAGAACAGUAUCUUACUUCUGAGGUGCUGAUCCAGAACAUUCCCUGAUACGGUAGAGAAAAUACAUGUGGAGUAGCUGAAAAUAGCAUCAGAGUAUUCCUGCCAGUUCUGCAUUCUCAGCAAUCUAUGACAGUGCCUUGACUUCAGGGGAGCUGUUACCUCACUAGAGGCAUCAAACAGUUUCCUGUGACAAGAACUCCCCUGCAUCAUGGGACAAAAGUCAUCAUAUUUCAUAAGGUCUGGCUAUCAAUGCUGGAACACCACAGGCCAGCAGCCUCUUCUAGAUGACUCUGGAACCAAGCACUGACUCAAUUUACUGGAGAAAUGUUUUCUACAGAGGACUGGCUAAUUCACUGCAGCAAUGCAACCUGCUCUUACUGUUUUCAGGCAUGUCACAACUACGGGGAGAGCAAUGGUAAGAGAUGAGCAGGUCACUGCACUUCUUCUGUCACUUCUUACAUUGUACCCCAAGUCCAGCUCUGAUUCACUUUCUUCAUAUGUAUGAAUAAGCAAAGGGAAAGCAUUGGCUCAGGUUGAGGGGUGUCUUUCCCCUUAACUCAGAACUGUCUCUGGGUACACUUAGUUUUAGCUGUACUGAUGAUUUUAAAGAGAUAUUUACAGUCAUCCUUUAAAAGGCCUGGUCAAAUUAAUUUUUUAUUCAACUGAAACUUGUCCCAGACAGCUUGCUUUCUUUGCAACAAAUUCCACAAGCAUUAAAAUGUUAUAUUUUUCAGUAAGGAAUCAAUUUAGUGCAGAGCACGCAUUAUGCAAACACACUGGCAGCCAAUACAGCACUGUAUGCAGCCAAGGGAAGAUCAGAAAGGCUAUUUCAGAAAAAGCAAUGAAUCUCAGGACCUUCUAUCUAGCAUUGAGAUUUGCAAUAUAAGUUGACUUACCUUGAAGAGACAGGGGUGAACUCCAGGAAAGCUGAAGCAAAUUAGUAAAAGGCCAAUGCGUCCCUAAUCCAUUUUUUGAUGAAAUGGCUUAUCAGUAUCUCAACAACAAUUGUAGUGGUGUUUAGGAUUUUUUCCGCUUUUUAAAUCACGUAGCAGUGAUUUGUGUCUCUUAAUGAUCUAAAAAUGGCUUGCCCUUAAUGAUUAUGACUGUUGCCUGUGGAAUUCUGCAGUGGUCCAGUUUCAGCCUACACACAAAGGGAGAUGCACUCCAAAUUGAUCCUGCAUCAUUUCAGAACUGCUAACGAGGUGAUUAAUAAAGACUUCCAGAGAACCUGAAAGUAUUUUGAAUA